rnacentral:tRNA from 1 species
AUUCAAAUAGCUUAAUUAGAGCRUGAUAUUGAAGAUAUCAAGGUAAUAAAAUUAUUUUUGAAUA